CUCUAAUAUCUUUCCAGAUAGCUAUUUUUAAGGAAAUUGCUCAGUGAAGUAUUAGGUAUUAAAGAGGUUUAUUCCUUCCUAUUUUAGGUAAAUAUGAAUCAUUAAAAUACAUACCAGUAGGUAAACCGAGAGUAUGUAUUUUAA
ncrna:unclassified sequences RT-14 RNA